rnacentral:rRNA from 1 species
ACACCGGCAGCUCAAGUGGUAGCCGCUUUUAUUGGGCCUAAAGCGUCCGUAGCCGGUCUGAUAAGUCUCUGGUGAAAUCCCGCAGCUUAACUGUGGGAAUUGCUGGAGAUACUAUCAUGACUCGAGGUCGGGAGAGGCUGGAGGUACUCCCAGGGUAGGGGUGACAUCCUGUAAUCCUGGGAGGACCACCUGUGGCGAAGGCGUCCAGCUGGAACGAACCUGACGGUGAGGGACGAAAGCCAGGGGCGCGAACCGGAUUAGAUACCCGGGUAGUCCUGGCCGUAAACGAUGUGGACUUGGUGUUGGGAUGGCUUCGAGCUGCCCCAGUGCCGAAGGGAAGCUGUUAAGUCCACCGCCUGGGAAGUACGGCCGCAAGGCUGAAACUUAAAGGAAUUGACGGGG